rnacentral:lncRNA from 1 species
CCAACAUCUACUUUUAAAAUAUGCUUUUAUGUUUAAUGAUUAUUGUUGCCUCUUUUAUUUCCACCAUCUCAUGUAUGUGAGCAUUGUGACUUAAUAAAGACCCAGGUCAAUGUCCAUCAUAAUUGAAGACUUUGUUCCCAUCAACAAAUAUUUUUUGUGUGCCUACAUUUUCCAGCCACUUUCCAGGAUCCAGGGAUUCAACAGUGAACACCUUCAGUCUUCACAUGGAGGCCGUGAUAGGAAAGCCUUGACCUUCAGUGCUGGACAGCAGAAGAGGAGACAAUGCGGAUAUAUGCAGUGGGCAGGAAAUGAGGAAAAACCUGUGCAUUCAGCUAGAGGCAAAGGUUGGCAUACAUGUCAAGAGAAUGUUCUCCAGCUGGGGCCUGCAGUACAGAGAAUUGUAUAUACCAGAGAGCCCAUGGGACUCUAGGCAGAUUAUUAUGGUAAUAUUGGAGGCUGCUGUCCUCUCCCUCCCACAGCUGGGCCGCCUCUCUCAUUCUUCACACACAGGCAAAUGUAAAUCAGAAAUGCUUUGUAUGUGGAGAUUUUUCCUAACUUCGGUUGCAUCUGUCUGCUUGACUGAGGGAAAGAGAAUAGCUCCCCCAGCUCAUCUGAAUCCCAAGGGACAUCUCAGCUUGCAUCUAGGAGGUCAGACACUGAACUCAAUGGUCCGAUUACGACUUGGCACAGGAGGCUGAUAAAGAAAGAGCAAGGUGAUCCGCUGCGGGUCUGGGACACAGCUUAGGACGUUUCUCCUAACUUAUAAAAAACAGAAAAAUGUCACUUAUUUGCUUUAAAUCUGGCUGUGGUCAACACAGUGCCAAGAAAUAAAGAUGAAAUCUGACAGACUUUUUAAUGUGUA